GACGAACGCUGGCGGCGUGCCUAACACAUGCAAGUCGAACGAGGUCCAUGCAGUGGCAACACUGCGGAAGACCUAGUGGCGAACGGGUGAGUAACACGUGAGGAACUUGCCCCGGAGACCGGGAUAACCCUCCGAAAGGAGGGCUAAUACCGGAUGCCCUCACCGAGUCGCAUGGCUUGGUGAGGAAAUGGAUUCCGCUCCGGGAGAGCCUCGCGGCCUAUCAGCUUGUUGGUGGGGUAACGGCCCACCAAGGCGUCGACGGGUAGCUGGUCUGAGAGGACGAUCAGCCACACUGGGACUGAGACACGGCCCAGACUCCUACGGGAGGCAGCAGUGGGGAAUCUUGCGCAAUGGGCGAAAGCCUGACGCAGCAACGCCGCGUGCGGGAUGAAGGCCCUCGGGUUGUAAACCGCUUUCAGUGGGGACGAACCAAGACGGUACCCACAGAAGAAGGUCCGGCCAACUACGUGCCAGCAGCCGCAGUAAAAC
rnacentral:rRNA from 1 species